AGGGAUCAUUACUGGAUGCAAUACUCCAACAACCCUUGCGAAUCUACCGAAACGUUGCCUCGGCGGGGCUCCUCCGGGAGCGCCAACCCGCCGACGGCCCCAAACUCUGCCUCAUUUAGUGUCUCUCUGAGCAUACUUAAAUAAGUCAAAACUUUCAACAACGGAUCUCUUGGUUCUGGCAUCGAUGAAGAACGCAGCGAAAUGCGAUAAGUAAUGUGAAUUGCAGAAUUCAGUGAAUCAUCGAAUCUUUGAACGCACAUUGCGCCCGCCAGCAUUCUGGCGGGCAUGCCUGUUCGAGCGUCAUUUCAACCCUCGGGCUAGCCCUGGUGUUGGGGACCUGCGCACUGCAGCCCCCGAAAGACAGCGGCGGACCCGUCCGGCUCCGAGCGUAGUACUAUACGUCGCUUAGGGCGCCCGGGCGGGCUUCCAGCCGGAAAACCCCCUAUUUCUCAAGGUUGACCUCGGAUCAGGUAGGAAUACCCGCUGAACUUAAGCAUAUCAAUAAGCGGAGGAAAAGAAACCAACAGGGAUUGCCUCAGUAACGGCGAGUGAAGCGGCAACAGCUCAAAUUUGAAAUCUGGCCCCAGGCCCGAGUUGUAAUUUGUAGAGGAUGCUUCGGACGCGGCGCCUUCCAAGUCCCCUGGAACGGGGUGCCUUAGAGGGUGAGAGCCCCGUACGGUUGGACGCCAAGUCUGUGUGAAGCUCCUUCGACGAGUCGAGUAGUUUGGGAAUGCUGCUCAAAAUGGGAGGUAGACCCCUUCUAAAGCUAAAUACCGGCCAGAGACCGAUAGCGCACAAGUAGAGUGAUCGAAAGAUGAAAAGCACUUUGAAAAGAGGGUUAAAUAGCACGUGAAAUUGUUGAAAGGGAAGCGCUUGUGACCAGACUUGCGCCGGGGCGAUCAUCUAGCGUUCUCGCUGGUGCACUCGCCCCGGUUCAGGCCAGCGUCGGUUUGGANCGGGGGGACAAAGACUUUGGGAAUGUGGCUCCCCCGGGAGUGUUAUAGCCCUUUGUGUAAUGCCCCCGACCAGACCGAGGUUCGCGCUCUGC
rnacentral:rRNA from 1 species